rnacentral:rRNA from 1 species
AACGAACGCUGGCGGCAGGCCUAACACAUGCAAGUCGAACGCCCUAGCAAUAGGGAGUGGCGCACGGGUGCGUAACGCGUGGGAAUAUGCCCUUCACUGCGGAAUAACGUUUGGAAACGAACGCUAAUACCGCAUAAUGACUCCGGUCCAAAGAUUUAUCGGUGAAGGAUUAGCCCGCGUUAGAUUAGCUAGUUGGUGAGGUAAUGGCUCACCAAGGCGACGAUCUAUAGCUGGUCUGAGAGGAUGAUCAGCCACACUGGGACUGAGACACGGCCCAGACUCCUACGGGAGGCAGCAGUGAGGAAUAUUGGACAAUGGGCGCAAGCCUGAUCCAGCCAUGCCGCGUGAGUGAAGAAGGCCUUCGGGUUGUAAAGCUCUUUCAGAUGUGAAGAUAAUGACGGUAGCAUCAGAAGAAGCCCC